rnacentral:ncRNA from 1 species
GUCGAGCGGACCUGAUGGAGUGCUUGCACUCCUGAUGGUUAGCGGCGGACGGGUGAGUAACACGUAGGCAACCUGCCCGUAAGACCGGGAUAACUACCGGAAACGGUAGCUAAUACCGGAUAAUCAAGUCUUCCGCAUGGGAGGCUUGGGAAAGGCGGAGCAAUCUGUCACUUACGGAUGGGCCUGCGGCGCAUUAGCUAGUUGGUGGGGUAACGGCUCACCAAGGCGACGAUGCGUAGCCGACCUGAGAGGGUNNNNNNNNNNN